UACGAACUGUGCGAACGUUAUUCGGAAUCACUGGGCUUAAAGGGUGCGUAGGCGGUUUCUUAAGUCAGGUGUGAAAUCUUUCGGCUCAACCGGAAAACUGCGCUUGAUACUAGGAGACUAGGGUGAGGUAGGGGUGUGUGGAACUUCCGGUGGAGCGGUGAAAUGUGUAGAUAUCGGAAGGAACGCCAGCAGCGAAAGCGGCACACUGGGCCUUUUCUGACGCUGAGGCACGAAAGCCAGGGGAGCGAACGGG
rnacentral:rRNA from 1 species